UAUAUUAUUAUUAUUUUAGUUUAGUAUAAGGUAUAACCUAUUAAUUAUUAUUACUUAUAUUUGUAUUUUAUAAGUUUUUAAUUAGGAAACACAAGUUUAAUGUUUUAUAUUAGAAUAUUCAGGUUAUCAUGAUUAGUGGUGGACUAUGCCAAAAGGAUACCAGGACUUGCUGAUACAAAUGGACGCAAUCGGAACAUAAAAGGCGACAAUCAUUAUUACGGACCGACAAAGGCAGAUACAAUCCGUACCGACAAAAACACCCUUGUCAAGGAUGUUUUUCGCUUCGUCUCUCUAUACGUAUUUAUCUAUGACUGUUGGUACAAUAUACCACAGUGCCCACGACAUACCUACAAGUUACAACCUACAUGACUACAUAUUAAGCAAUAUCACAUACUUACUCAAAUAUUUCUAUUAAAAAUUAUAAUUAAAUUUUAAUAUUAUACUGUUAUAUUCAUUCGUAAAUCGAAAAGUAAUUAAAUAUAAAAACUAUUAGAAA